rnacentral:rRNA from 1 species
UACGUAGGGGGCAAGCGUUGUCCGGAUUUAUUGGGCGUAAAGAGCGUGUAGGCGGCCAGACAGGUCAGCUGUGAAAACUCGAGGCUCAACCUCGAGACGUCGGUUGAAACCGUCUGGCUAGAGUCCGGAAGAGGAGAAUGGAAUUCCCGGUGUAGCGGUGAAAUGCGCAGAUAUCGGGAAGAACACCCGUGGCGAAGGCGGCUCUCUGGGACGGUACCGACGCUGAGACGCGAAAGCGUGGGGAGCGAACAGG